rnacentral:rRNA from 1 species
GCGUAACGCGUAUAGAACCUACCUUUUACAGAGGGAUAGCCCAGAGAAAUUUGGAUUAAUACCUCAUAGUAUAAUUGAAUGGCAUCAUUUAAUUAUUAAAGAUUUAUCGGUGAAAGAUGAGCAUGCGUCCCAUUAGCUAGUUGGUAUGGUAACGGCAUACCAAGGCAACGAUGGGUAGGGGUCCUGAGAGGGAGAUCCCCCACACUGGUACUGAGACACGGACCAGACUCC